UGGUCAAGGGGUUGUAUCCAGUAGAGCAGUGUUUGUAUACUGCGAUCUGUUGAGACUAUCCUAUGAUCGGGUGUUUUGUCUUCUCCUGUCAAGGGGGUGUUUUAAUUCACUCUCUAGCGCGGAGCGAAAUUUAGCCGAGUGUGGUGACUAAGUGUACAUCGCAUUGGUCCUACAUAGAAAAUGUAUCUUCUUGUUUUCGAGUGGUGACAUCUAAUUUCAAGGAUUCACUCACAUUUUGCUAACAAACGUAUGUCAAUCCUAUAGAAUUAUUGAUUCUACAUAUACAAUGUAACAUUCUUGUUUUGAGUAUAAAUGAAUUACAGUUUUAUGUAUGUAUGCGUAUCAAUGUCUCAACUUUAGGUCAGCACUUGCUGUGCCAAACACUGGAAGUUUUGAAAUAUGUUUGUUUGAAUAAUUUUAAUAGAAAAGUAACACUCAGACAUUAUGUUGUGAAGUAUGUUAUGUUAUCGAAAUAUUACAUAGAAAUUACUUAUGUAAUGUAAUUCAUAGCAUUUUGAAUUAAAGAACAUUUUUCCACAUAAAUGCUUAAGAAUGUUAGAUAUGGCAAGAAUCUCACUGAAGCACCUGCGAUUUGUUCAUCUCAUGGUGUUUAGGGGGUGUUUUAAUUCACUAGCAUUGCCCGAACGUUAUGUCGAGUAGAAGUCUUUUUUGUACCCGAA
rnacentral:misc_RNA from 1 species